UACAGACCAUGUUCUGCCAAAAGUUCUGCCUUCCACCCUUUUUUGAUGCCUUUGAAUGUUCCCACCACCAGAACUGUACUAGUGAUUCAGCCAUGAACUCCAAUAACACUGAAAAAGCCUGAAUGGAGCUGGUAUCCUUGUCAGGGAAGAUAAAGAACCAACAAAAUAAAUAAGUAAGAGAUAAUUGCAACGCCUUAGCAGCCUGUGGAGUUUGGAACAAGGCUCAUUUAGGUUCAUUGCAUUCAAGAGAAUAAUCACUAUUGGUCUUGUCUGAUCACCUCAAAGAAUCAGCAGUUAUACUCAUGACUGCAUUUUUACCACCAAUGCAAGUGUCAACCCCAGUAAAAGGGUAAAGAACAUCUUAAUAAACAAGAACAUAUCAAAAAAAAAUAGUUGUACUUGAAAGUUUUGGGGCACCUCCAGGAGUCUUUGGACCACAAUUUGAGAAUCUCCUAACCAAUUACAGAAUGACAGGUCCCUUAGUGUACAAGGAAACCCCAGAUAGAAUCACAACAUUGGAUGGAGAAGGCAUUGAAAGAUGGUCAGUAAAUUCCACACCCUAUUACACCACAUUUUCCAACACUACACUAUACUC